rnacentral:rRNA from 1 species
UACAGAGGUCUCAAGCGUUGUUCGGAUUCAUUGGGCGUAAAGGGCUCGUAGGCGGCCCUCUCAGUCGGAUGUGAAAUCCCCAGGCUUAACCUGGGAACGGCAUCCGAUACUGGAGGGCUUGAAUUCGGGAGAGGGAUGCAGAAUUCCAGGUGUAGCGGUGAAAUGCGUAGAUAUCUGGAGGAAUACCGGUGGCGAAGGCGGCAUCCUGGACCGAGAUUGACGCUGAGGAGCGAAAGCUAGGGGAGCAAACGGG